UGAGGAAUAUUGGUCAAUGGACGGAAGUCUGAACCAGCCAAGUAGCGUGCAGGAUGACGGCCCUAUGGGUUGUAAACUGCUUUUGUAUGGGGAUAAAGUUAGGGACGUGUCCCUAUUUGCAGGUACCAUACGAAUAAGGACCGGCUAAUUCCGUGCCAGCAGCCGCGGUAAUACGGAAGGUCCAGGCGUUAUCCGGAUUUAUUGGGUUUAAAGGGAGCGUAGGCUGGAGAUUAAGUGUGUUGUGAAAUGUAGACGCUCAACGUCUGAAUUGCAGCGCAUACUGGUUUCCUUGAGUACGCACAACGUUGGCGGAAUUCGUCGUGUAGCGGUGAAAUGCUUAGAUAUGACGAAGAACUCCGAUUGCGAAGGCAGCUGACGGGAGCGCAACUGACGCUUAAGCUCGAAGGUGCGGGUAUCAAACAGGAUUAGAUACCCCGGUAGUCCGCACAGUAAACGAUGGAUGCCCGCUGUUGGUACCUGGUAUCAGCGGCUAAGCGAAAGCAUUAAGCAUCCCACCUGGGGAGUACGCCGGCAACGGUG
rnacentral:rRNA from 1 species